UACGGAGGGGGCUAGCGUUGUCCGGAAUUAUUGGGCGUAAAGCGCGCGCAGGCGGUCCUUUAAGUCUGAUGUGAAAGCCCACGGCUCAACUGUGGAGGGUCAUUGGAAACUGGGGGACUUGAGUGCAGAAGAGGAAAGCGGAAUUCCACGUGUAGCGGUGAAAUGCGUAGAGAUGUGGAGGAACACCAGUGGCGAAGGCGGCUUUCUGGUCUGUAACUGACGCUGAGGCG
rnacentral:rRNA from 1 species